ensembl:lncRNA
AAUCGGAGUUGGUCGAAGGCUUCCGGAGACAUCCGAGUCGUCGCACGCCGUAUUCGCGCCGCUCUGACACGUGGUGACGUUUACCGGGCGGACGAUUUACGGGCUUGGCGCGAUUCGUUUCGCAUCCGUGUAAGGUGCCUUUGUGUCCUCGCGGCUCUCAUUAAACCAUCGGAGACGUGACGAAGAGACCUUGAGGAGCAGCCUGCGGAGAAACGACUGAAAGAUGGACCUGUCCACACACACACUCAAUCCUGUCUGCACGCUGGCCACCUCGGAGCAUAAAUACACAUGCCACCGUCUCAAACCUGCAACCUUCACCAUUUAUAAACACACACACACACACAGGAGUGGAAACUAGUUUCAUAUUCUUACAUCUACUUCACAGUUUCUUUUAAAAGCGUGAGAGAAGUGACUCCAUUUUAUUUAGCUUCCCUGUCCGUCUCCAAUCCUGGCGUCACGGCCACGUGGCCUGGCUCGUAUAUCCGACGGUGCACAAGGAAAAGUCACGUCAACAGCUUAACACUGACCAGGAAAAAGACAUCCAGCUUUAACCAAAUAAGUCGAUUUGUGCAGACAGUCGAUUCAUUCUAGGGGAGACAAACCAGUGAAAUUCAGGAGGAGACUGAAGGUGAGCGCGGUUGCAUGAGCACGUGUGGGUGUGAGAAAGAUUUGUUUGUGAGCACAUGCUGCACGCCGGCUGUGGGAGUAAUUAUGGGCUGGCAUCGAGAGGGUCAUCUCAACACCAUGACUACCUCUCAUCAACAAAUUACGAAUGAUCGUUAUUGGCAAAUGGGUGAGGACGGAGUCACUUUUAAAUCAAAGGAAAACGCGAGUGGGGGAUUCACGUUCGUAGGGUCGUCUCAGGGGGAACACCAAUUACAUGUAAUUACACAGAGAGAGCGAGAGAGGAAACGGAUGGGGGAUGGCACAUUAACUUCGGUACACUCCCUCCAACACGCUCGCUCACACAGAUGCAGUUGCCGUAGUUACCGGGCUAUUCUGGGAUGUAAGGCCAGCUGACUGCACAUGUAUCUCGGCUCUCAUCUGCGGCGUACACAAGGGCCUGUGUAGGUGGCAACCGUGAGAGGCUGAAGUCUGAAUCACUACUGACGACUCGAGCGCAUACACUGAAACGCUGUGAGUCUGGAGAGCGACUCUUCAUAUGUGUCUCAGUACAGC